rnacentral:miRNA from 1 species
AUUGUUAGUUCCAGUGCCAUCUUUCUGUGACCCUUACUGAUACAAAUGGUACUAUAAUGUAAAAAUAGCUGCUAUAUAGGUACUUUGUUUAAAAAUUAAUUAAAAUCAAACCUGUAAGUUAGCCAUUUUGUAACUGAGUGAGUAUUAAA